GAUUAACUCUGCCCCAGUCAAAACCAGGACAGAAGAGACCCCAUUCACAGACCAGAAAGGGCACCUGGAAAUCAUGAGAGAACAAAGAAGAUUUUGAUUUCACUGCAGCUGAAGUCAGAGAAGCAAUAUGCAGAGCUACAAGGAAGAAGAAACAACACAGGCAGCUCUGCUGGCCGAUGAUAUACCAAAAGACCAAAAGACUUGGACUCGUUUGAAGAUUGUCAAGGGAUAUGAACCCAUACACUUAAAAGGACCUGCCUUUUGAACAGAAAACAAAAACAAGCCAUCCCUGUGAAAGGAAGGAAUAAAAGCAGCUUGAUGUGUUCUGACAGCAAAAUUAGACAGCAGACACAUAUAAAAGCCAAUGAGCAAACUGUGCAAGUCAAGAAA